AGCAGCCGCGGUAAUUCCAGCUCCAAUAGCGUAUAUUAAAGUUGUUGCAGUUAAAAAGCUCGUAGUUGAAUUUCAGGCCUGGCUGGGCGGUCCGCCUUUUGGGUGAGUACUGCCUGUGGUCGGGUCCUACCUUCUGGCGAAGCGUCAUGGCCUUAACCGGCCGUGGCGGGGAACCAGGACUUUUACUGUGAAAAAAUUAGAGUGUUCAAAGCAGGCAUUCGCUUGAAUACAUUAGCAUGGAAUAAUGGAAUAGGACAGUGGUUCUAUUUGUUGGUUUCUAGGACCGUUGUAAUGAUUAAUAGGGAUAGUUGGGGGCAUUAGUAUUCAAUUGUCAGAGGUGAAAUUCUUGGAUUUAUUGAAGACUAACUACUGCGAAAGCAUUUGCCAAGGAUGUUUUCAUUAAUCAAGAACGAAAGUUAGGGGAUCGAAGACGAUCAGAUACCGUCGUAGUCUUAACCAUAAACUAUGCCGACUAGGAAUCGGGCGAUGUUGACAAAAUGACGCGCUCGGCACCUCAUAC
rnacentral:rRNA from 1 species